AUGAUGGAGUACUAUCAUAUUGCCAACAAGAUGUUUAAUAGUGAGGAUGAAGGUUAUACAUUCUAUAAUAAAUAUGGUCUUGAGAAAGGUUAUAGUGUCUGGAGAAGCUAUGUCGAGUGGGACGGAUCCAACUGCCAUAUAAUUUUAAGGAAAUUUGUGUGUAGUCGUGAAGGGGUUCGUGAAGAGAAGCACAUGAAGAGGAAGAUGGAAGAUAGAAAGAGGAGGCCACGGAGUAUAACUCGUGUAGGGUGUAAAGCUAAAUUGGUGAUUGCAAGACAUGAGGAAACAGGUCAGUGGUUUGUCAAGGAUUUCAUCGAUGAACACAACCAUCCCCUAGCCCCACGGGAUCUGUCGUGUCUUUUGCGUUCACACAGAAGAAUUAGCGAUGAGCAGAAAGCGGACAUUGCAGACAUGGAAAAAUCUGGGAUCAGAAAACACCAUAUUAUGGAUAUUAUGUGCAUGCAAUACGUUGGAUAUGAUGAGGUUGGAUGCAUUAUGAGGGACAUUUACAAUUUCUUCCAUGCUAACAAGCAGGAAACAAUUUCUUCCGGGGAUGCUCAAACGGUGAUCAAUCACAUGGUGGCGAGGCAAGAGCAAGAUUCAGAUUUUUUCUUCAGGUACUUGGUUGAUGAAGCUGGCCAUCUGAAGGGACUGUUCUGGUGUGAUAGUCAAUCCCGACUUGACUAUGAGGCUUUCGGAGACGUUAUUGUUUUUGAUAGCACAUACAGAACCAAUAAGUACAAUCUGCCAUUUGUGCCGUUUGUCGGGUUGAAUCACCUCCGCAGCACCGUUAUUUUUGCAUGUGGUAUCAUCUCACAUGAAACAAGCCAGGCAUACGAGUGGAUGUUACGGACCUUUUCUGAUGCUAUGGGACAGAAGCAUCCUAUAUCUGUGAUCACGGAUGGGGACCUUGCAAUGCAGAGAGCAAUCAGGGUGGUGUGGCCUGACUCAAACCAUAGGCUCUGUAUAUGGCACAUUCAGCAGAACAUUGUACGCCAUCUGCAUGAUGACGCGGUAAAGGAGGAAUUCCGAUCUUUCAUAUAUGAUACAUCUUCCAUUGAAGAGCAUGAGAGAAAAUGGUUACACUUCUUACAACGGAAUAAAGUAACAAGUGAGGACUCCUGGCUGCAUCAGAUGUAUAAGAUGAGAAAACUGUGGUGUGCUCCAUAUCUUGAGGGCCGUUGUUUCCUAGGAUUGAGCAGCAAUCAGCGGAGUGAGAGUUUAAACUCGGUGCUACAUACGCAUCUUGAGGCUAAGAUGACGUUGUUUCAAAUGCUAGAGCACUAUGAGCGUUGCUUUGCGUCGCGACGCUUGAACGAGGCUCUCCAAGACGUCGAGGCCUUACAGUCCGUUCCGUUCACAGAGGAAAAUGCUUCAGUUCUUGAGAAACAUGCCGCGAAAGUUUUCACUCCUGCUGUGUUUAAGUUGGUCUUAUGGAGCAUAGAUGCUGUCAUAAAAUGUGAGAUCAGAGAGGUACUUGAUGCAGCAGAGGUUACCACAUACGUUGUGUCUAAGAAGGAAAGAAUGGAUAAAAAGAUCGAAGUGCGCACGGAGACGAAGGAAGGUAUGCUUCGCAGUAUCAGUUGUUCUUGCCGCAAAUUGGAAUGCGCAGGCACACCAUGUUCCCACAUAUUUUACAUAUUCGGAAUUUUACAAGAAGAAACACUGCCCAGGUGUUGUGUUCCCACUAGGUGGACAAUG
rnacentral:rRNA from 1 species